rnacentral:rRNA from 1 species
ACGACUGCUAAGACUGGAUAGGAGACAAGAAGGCAUCUUCUUGUUUUUAAAAGACCUAGCAAUAGGUAUGCUUAGGGAGGAGCUUGCGUCACAUUAGUUAGUUGGUGGGGUAAAGGCCUACCAAGACUAUGAUGUGUAGCCGGGCUGAGAGGUUGAACGGCCACAUUGGGACUGAGACACGGCCCAAACUCCUACGGGAGGCAGCCGUAGGGAAUUUUCGGCAAUGGAGGAAACUCUGACCGGGCAACGCCGCGUGAACGAUGAAGUAUUUCGGUACGUAAAGUUCUUUUAUUAGGGAAGAAUAAAUGAUGGAAAAAUCAUUCUGACGGUACCUAAUGAAUAAGCCCCGGCUAACUAUGUGCCAGCAGCCGCGGUAAUACAUAGGGGGCAAGCGUUAUCCGGAAUUAUUGGGCGUAAAGGGUGCGUAGGCGGUUAAAUAAGUUUAUGGUCUAAGUGCAAUGCUCAACAUUGUGAUGCUAUAAAAACUGUUCAGCUAGAGUAAGAUAGAGGCAAGUGGAAUUCCAUGUGUAGUGGUAAAAUGCGUAAAUAUAUGGAGGAACACCAGUAGCGAAGGCGGCUUGCUGGGUCUUUACUGACGCUGAGGCACGAAAGCGUGGGGAGCAAACAGGAUUAGAUACCCUGGUAGUCCACGCCGUAAACGAUGAGUACUAAACGUUGGGUAAAACCAGUGUUGAAGUUAACACAUUAAGUACUCCGCCUGAGUAGUACGUACGCAAGUAUGAAACUUAAAGGAAUUGACGGGACUCCGCACAAGCGGUGGAUCAUGUUGUUUAAUUCGAAGGUACCCGAAAAACCUCACCAGGUCUUGACAUGCUUCUGCAAAGCUGUAGAAACACAGUGGAGGUUAUCAGUUGCACAGGUGGUGCAUGGUUGUCGUCAGCUCGUGUCGUGAGAUGUUGGGUUAAGUCCCGCAACGAGCGCAACCCUUAUUGUUAGUUACCAGCACGUAAUGGUGGGGACUUUAGCAAGACUGCCAGUGAUAAAUUGGAGGAAGGUGGGGACGACGUCAAAUCAUCAUGCCCCUUAUGACCUGGGCUACAAACGUGAUACAAUGGCUGUUACAAAGGGUAGCUGAAGCGCAAGUUUUUGGCGAAUCUCAAAAAAACAGUCUCAGUUCGGAUUGAAGUCUGCAACUCGACUUCAUGAAGUUGGAAUCGCUAGUAAUCGCGAAUCAGCAUGUCGCGGUGAAUACGUUCUCGGGGUUUGUACACACCGCCCGUCA